rnacentral:tRNA from 1 species
GCAUCUAUCGGAUCGUUUUAGAAACAUUCAGGGGCCAAUCGAUCGCAAGAUCAUUGAGCUCCAUUGGCGGGAUUUCGCCGUCUACGUUUCUCUUUCUUCGCGGACGAACACGCGCCAGGGGCUUACGCGCUGUGCGAUGGUUUUGGCGCUUAUGCGAUGCAUUGGCGCGAGCUGAUUGCGCGCGAGCAUGUCCCUGAUCCCCCCAUGAGAGGGAGCGUUAGGGGCUUGUAGCUCAGUUGGUUAGAGCGCGCGCUUGAUAAGCGUGAGGUCGGAAGUUCAAGUCUUCCCAGGCCCACCACUUUGAUCGAGUGCGGAGCAUUCGUCUUCUGGUUACGGGGCCAUAGCUCAGCUGGGAGAGCGCGUGCUUUGCAAGCAUGAGGUCGUCGGUUCGAUCCCGUCUGGCUCCACCAGAUGGUAUCGAAGCUCGAGAGUGCCUUGAUCAAAUCGUCCGCGAAACAUCACUUCGCAUGCAUUGCCUGGAUAGGCAGUGACAUGCGUGUUUUCUGACAUCGUAAAGAGGAGAUCGACCCGAGUUUGGGGUCUGCAAAGCAAUUUGCGGGCACUCACUCAUAAUCUCCAGGUCAUUUCGGCGCUCGUUCAUCGCAGCUCAUCGCAAGAUGUGUGAGACGGAUGAGUUGUAAAUGACCUCUUUAGCGAAGCUUGACCGCCUCGCUAACGGAUCGAUCUUACGAAGCAAGCUGGUCUUUCUAGUCAAUGUCCGGCUGCGGCAAUCGCAUUCAUCGAGGAUGCGCGCCUUAAGUGGCAGUUGCGCAGACAACAUUCUGCCGAGUGUGUGGACAUUGAUAAUGAGAGCAAUCAAG